UACAGAUGGUUCCUACUCCUAUGAAGAGAAGGUAACAAUAGGCUAUGAGGAAGUGGAAAGCAGCGACUGGGCAAUAAAACAGCAGAGGAAAUUUGGAAUAGAUGAACUUAGCUCUGCAGUGUGGCAGACCACAGGUGUCCAAGCUCGGUGACAUAUCAGCUGAAAUAAUACAGCAGUGAAGACAUAGCCCCUGAGAAUGUGGUGAAAGCUUCAACUGAGAGCUCUCUCUAUACCUGCUGAAAGGUAACUACUUACACAUACAAGGUCAGAUGAGAACUUUA